rnacentral:rRNA from 1 species
UACGUAGGGUGCGAGCGUUAAUCGGAAUUACUGGGCGUAAAGCGUGCGCAGGCGGUUUUGUAAGUCUGACGUGAAAUCCCCGGGCUUAACCUGGGAAUUGCGUUGGAGACUGCAAGGCUGGAGUCUGGCAGAGGGGGGUAGAAUUCCACGUGUAGCAGUGAAAUGCGUAGAGAUGUGGAGGAACACCGAUGGCGAAGGCAGCCCCCUGGGUCAAGACUGACGCUCAUGCACGAAAGCGUGGGGAGCAAACCGG